rnacentral:rRNA from 1 species
UUAAAUUGAAGAGUUUGAUCAUGGCUCAGAUUGAACGCUGGCGGCAGGCCUAACACAUGCAAGUCGAACGGUAACAGGAAGCAGCUUGCUGCUUUGCUGACGAGUGGCGGACGGGUGAGUAAUGUCUGGGAAACUGCCCGAUGGAGGGGGAUAACUACUGGAAACGGUGGCUAAUACCGCAUAACGUCGCAAGACCAAAGAGGGGGACCUUCGGGCCUCUUGCCAUCGGAUGUGCCCAGAUGGGAUUAGCUAGUAGGUGGGGUAAAGGCUCACCUAGGCGACGAUCCCUAGCUGGUCUGAGAGGAUGACCAGCCACACUGGAACUGAGACACGGUCCAGACUCCUACGGGAGGCAGCAGUGGGGAAUAUUGCACAAUGGGCGCAAGCCUGAUGCAGCCAUGCCGCGUGUAUGAAGAAGGCCUUCGGGUUGUAAAGUACUUUCAGCGGGGAGGAAGGGAGUAAAGUUAAUACCUUUGCUCAUUGACGUUACCCGCAGAAGAAGCACCGGCUAACUCCGUGCCAGCAGCCGCGGUAAUACGGAGGGUGCAAGCGUUAAUCGGAAUUACUGGGCGUAAAGCGCACGCAGGCGGUUUGUUAAGUCAGAUGUGAAAUCCCCGGGCUCAACCUGGGAACUGCAUCUGAUACUGGCAAGCUUGAGUCUCGUAGAGGGGGGUAGAAUUCCAGGUGUAGCGGUGAAAUGCGUAGAGAUCUGGAGGAAUACCGGUGGCGAAGGCGGCCCCCUGGACGAAGACUGACGCUCAGGUGCGAAAGCGUGGGGAGCAAACAGGAUUAGAUACCCUGGUAGUCCACGCCGUAAACGAUGUCGACUUGGAGGUUGUGCCCUUGAGGCGUGGCUUCCGGAGCUAACGCGUUAAGUCGACCGCCUGGGGAGUACGGCCGCAAGGUUAAAACUCAAAUGAAUUGACGGGGGCCCGCACAAGCGGUGGAGCAUGUGGUUUAAUUCGAUGCAACGCGAAGAACCUUACCUGGUCUUGACAUCCACGGAAGUUUUCAGAGAUGAGAAUGUGCCUUCGGGAACCGUGAGACAGGUGCUGCAUGGCUGUCGUCAGCUCGUGUUGUGAAAUGUUGGGUUAAGUCCCGCAACGAGCGCAACCCUUAUCCUUUGUUGCCAGCGGUCCGGCCGGGAACUCAAAGGAGACUGCCAGUGAUAAACUGGAGGAAGGUGGGGAUGACGUCAAGUCAUCAUGGCCCUUACGACCAGGGCUACACACGUGCUACAAUGGCGCAUACAAAGAGAAGCGACCUCGCGAGAGCAAGCGGACCUCAUAAAGUGCGUCGUAGUCCGGAUUGGAGUCUGCAACUCGACUCCAUGAAGUCGGAAUCGCUAGUAAUCGUGGAUCAGAAUGCCACGGUGAAUACGUUCCCGGGCCUUGUACACACCGCCCGUCACACCAUGGGAGUGGGUUGCAAAAGAAGUAGGUAGCUUAACCUUCGGGAGGGCGCUUACCACUUUGUGAUUCAUGACUGGGGUGAAGUCGUAACAAGGUAACCGUAGGGGAACCUGCGGUUGGAUCACCUCCUUACCUUAAAGAAGC